rnacentral:rRNA from 1 species
CCUACGGGAGGCAGCAGUGAGGAAUAUUGGUCAAUGGACGAGAGUCUGAACCAGCCAAGUAGCGUGAAGGAUGACUGCCCUAUGGGUUGUAAACUUCUUUUAUAAAGGAAUAAAACGAGGCACGUGUGCCUUUUUGCAUGUACUUUAUGAAUAAGGAUCGGCUAACUCCGUGCCAGCAGCCGCGGUAAUACGGAGGAUCCGAGCGUUAUCCGGAUUUAUUGGGUUUAAAGGGAGCGUAGAUGGGUUGUUAAGUCAGUUGUGAAAGUUUGCGGCUCAACCAGAAAAAUGCAAUUGAUACGGGCAGUCUUGAGAAUAGAUGAGGUAGGCGGAAUUCGUGGUGUAGCGGUGAAAUGCUUAGAUAUCACGAAGAACCCCGAUUGCGAAGGCAGCUUACUAAACUGUGACUGACAUUGAUGCUCGAAAGUGUGGGGAUCAAACAGGAUUAGAUACCCCGGUAGUC